rnacentral:rRNA from 1 species
CACGGGGGGAGCAAGCGUUGUUCGGAAUUACUGGGCGUAAAGCGCAUGUAGGCGGCAAUGCAAGUCGGGCGUGAAAUCCCACGGCUCAACCGUGGAAGUGCACUCGAAACUGCAUAGCUAGAGUCCUGGAGAGGAAGGUGGAAUGCUUGGUGUAGAGGUGAAAUUCGUAGAUAUCAAGCAGAACACCUGCGGCGAAGGCGGCCUUCUGGACGGUGACUGACGCUGAGACGCGAAAGCGUGGGGAGCAAACAGG